GUAUGAGUUUGGAUUGAUGGCAGGCCCGACCUCAUGGGCCGGAACCAUUGCCUGACUCUAUCCCAUGGGCGUCAGGCACUGAAGUGGGUUACACAGUA
rnacentral:snoRNA from 1 species